AUAACAUUUGCAACACAUAUACUAAAAUCGGAAUGAUAUAGAGAAGAUUAGCAUAGACCCUGUGAAAGGAUGACCCACAAAUUUAUGAAAUGUUCCAUAUUUUU